rnacentral:lncRNA from 1 species
CAUUUUGUAGGUGCACAUUGAUUUCGAUGAGGUCGCCAUCUACAGCACCAUCACCGAAGGUUCUGCUUAGGUAUGCACCUACAACACUAUACAUCAUUAUUUAUACAUGAUGAAAGAUGAUGGUUGAUAGGAUAUGUACCAUCGGUUUCGGUGUUGCGAAUGUAUGUGGGGGCCGCAUUGACCGUAGGAGCAUGAUCUAUUUGUUCACUGUCGAAUUGUUGCGUGAGGGCUGAAAGUGUGAGAGUCGGACAAUGUGUGUGAGGGUUGGACAAUGUGCUAGUUAGAUCUGGACGUGGCAUUGCGAUCGAUUCAGCACACGGCGUGUUUUUCUUUGCAGCAUACUUUGCCUUUCUCUUUGCACUUGACUCCCCCCUUUCAUCCUCAGUCAUGGUUUUAGGGUGUUGCACGCGCCAUUCUUGCAACUUCUGAUUUUUUUCUUGAAGAUCGAUCGUUCCGUCACCCACUUUUUUCCGAUAACUUGCUCGCCUCCGCGCGUUUCUCUGCUCAAUUUGCUCGUCUGUUAAGUCACCCUUGUGUUCUUUAUCAGGCUGUUUUUCAUCUAGUUGCUUGCUGGCUGCCUCCUCUUUUUUCUUUCGAUAAGUAGCUCUCCUCCGAGCCUUUAUUUGCUCUUUUUUCUCAUCAAGGUCCACCGAGAAUGGUUGACACCCAUUAGUGAUAUCACCGAGAGGUAGCAGGGGAACAUUUUGCAUAUCUGCACGAAGGGUUUAGGGUCUUCAUUGUUCAAGAAGAUUUCAUGUACUACACAAACGCUUACUUUAUAUAUCUGCACGGUCAGGUUAAACAAUGAUGUAUAGCUGGAUGUAGUUGGGUUGGUAUCAUCGAGAGGUAACAGGGGAACAUUUUGCAUAUCUGCCCGGAGGGUUUAGGGUCUUCAUUGUUCACCGAGAGGUAACAGGGCUGGUUGAAGCUACUUCUUUAUCUAGGGUUUAUUUUUUAUAGAAUCCCUCCGUGUCCAUACAUAAAGUCUGUAUGUACUCAAAAGUCGUAUGUCUGCCAUAUAUCGAAUUGAACCUAAAUGAUCAGGAAUUGUAUGUUAACACAGUGGUCAAGUAUUGGUCAAUUAUUUUUAUUCUCUAUUCUUGGUCAAUUAUUCGUGGGGUUGGGGUGAGGAAACAUAUGUCGCCUACAUUAUUCACUAAGAAAGUAUACAUACGGUCAUCAUAUUGCUGAAACAUAAACAUCCUUACCUGAUAUCGUAAGGGCAGUCAGAUUAUCAUCUUUUUGCUUGCUGGCUGCCUCCUCUUUUUUCUUUCGAUAAGCAGCUCUUCUCCGAGACUUUAGUUGCUCUUUUUUAUCGUCAAGGUCCACCGUGGUUGGUUGACACACAUUAGUGAUAUCACCGAGAGGUAACCCACCCACAUUCAGCAUAUCUGCAUGUGAAAUGAUAUUAACAUUAUAUUGUGGAAUGGAGGGAGUAUAUAUAAUAUCAUCGCAGUGCCUUCCCAUAAAGCAUUCUUACCUGAUAUCGUAAGGGCAGACAGAUUUUCAUCUUGUUGCUUGACGGUAGCCUCCUCUUUUUUCUUUCUAUAAGCAGCUCGCCUCCGAGCUUUUAUCAACUCUCUUUUUUCGUCAAGGUCCAUAGAGGAUGGUUGAUCUGCAUUAGUGAUAUCACUGUGAGGAUGGCGUGGAACAUUAUGCGGCCUCUCUUGCCAACUGUCACGUUGCAUGCUAGCUAGUUAUUUUGUCAGAUAACUGAGAGCUGGCAACGAACCUACAUUAUAUAGGAAUGAGAUUGGAGGGUUGUCUGCAUCAUGUUAACAUAACAAUAUAUUGGACCGAAACAAGGCAAAGUUGUAGGCACAUGGUCUUAACCUUUCGGCAACAUAAUGCUUACCCGAAAUCAGACGGGAAGGUUGAUGAACAUAUGUCCUUUCACAAUCGGCCUGUUCAAGUAUUGUCCUGUCCGAGUGAGUAAUAUGGACUCCUACAAGUCCCACGCUUGAUCUUUUAGAAUCGGUUUUGCCCAAGUCUGUUAGGUAUGAUUUAUCACAUAAAAAGCAUAAAAGCAAUCUCAGUAUAUAUGCACAGCCUUAAUACCUGGACUACUUGGGUAAUUCUUAUGAACAUCGUCGGCUCAAGGUAUAACCCCUUCAUUAGAGUCGUCACCAUUUGGCCCCUCCAUGGGGCCUGCAACAUCUCCUGUGAUGGUGUUUGACAUGUAUAACAAAAUAUGUAGUUGAACAUAUACAAGGAGGUAGAUAUAUACCUGGAGUAUCAUAUGUGCUAUCACCAUCGGUCUCAAGUAUCAUCCGUUCGGAGGGAGUAAUAUGGACUCCUAGAAGUAAAGAUGUUGAUACAUUAGAAUCGGUUGUGCCCAAGUCUGUUAGGUAUGAUUUUUCAACUAAAAAGGAUAAAAAUAAACCUUAUACCUGGACUACAUGGGUAAAUUUUGUCAACAUCAUCGGCUACGGGUAUAAUCCCUUCGUUAGAGUCGUCAACACUUGUCCCCUCCAUCGGGCAUGCAACAGAUAUAUAGUUGAAUAUAUAUAUGUUUGACUUGUGUAGCACAAUUUAUAGGUGAACAUAUACCUGGAGGUACAUGUGAUGAAGUCGUCAGUUCCGCUGGCUUGCUGUGUGGAGUCCCCAUAUGUAACUACUAAAAAAAGACAUGUCCAACAGAAUCAGGUAUCACGCAAAAACUUGUAAACUGACUCUGCAAGCAAAUCACGUGAAAUACCAACAGUACUAAAGGCCCGCUCCCAUUGUACAGAAAUUUAGUCCAUAAGGGCAGGUUGUUACAGAUUUAUGAGUCUUGCUAUAUAUAUGAAAAUAGAAAGACAUGUCGAACAGACUUUGCUACUUUGCAUUUUUUGUGAACUGACUCUGCUGAAUACAUGUUAAGAAUUCAAGAUGCUAAGAUGUCAUGUUCAUCUGAUUGCAGGCAGAUGAAGGCCGUCGAAGAUCACAAGCGCAGCUUGCUAUUGUACAGGUUUGGAAUUUAGAAAGGUGACCUAUUUUCAUGUGAACUUACCUAUUCUUUGCUAUUCAGAAUAAUUCUUUAUCUUCCCAUUGCUGUGUUAAUUGAUUCAUAUGCGGUUGUGCUAUUCUGACAAGGAUGUCCAUCAAGGUUGUUUGGAGGGACAUAAUGAAACCUCACAAGUUCUACUUUGCUGAUUCUUUCAGAGAAUUGUUUCAUUACUAAUGCGCUAUCGUGGGCAUGUAUUAAUCCCAUAUUCCAAAUCACUUUGGAAUCCAGUCAAAAUCCAGUGAAAAUCACUCUGGAAUCCUUCUCCGUAAUUGAUUCGCAAACUACUCUCAAGGACUGCUCUGAACCUCAAAUAUCAUGGGCACAUGAAGUUGUGGUGUAAUUUUUACAGAAACAAGUGAUUCAGGCAGCAAG